rnacentral:rRNA from 1 species
UACGAAGGGGCUAGCGUUGUUCGGAAUCACUGGGCGUAAAGGGCGCGUAGGCGGCUUUGUAAGUCGGGGUGAAGCCUGACUGGCUCAACCACGAGAAUUGCCUUCGAUACUGCAUGGCUGAGACGGAAGAGGUAAGUGGAACGUGCGAGUGUAGAGGUGAAAUUCGUAGAUAUUGCAAGAACACCAGUGGCGAAGGCGGCUUACUGGUCCGGUUCUGACGCUGAGGCGGCGAAAGCCAGG